UGUGGCCGUUCACGCAACCGUACGGGGAGCGCCAGUUUCCUAGGUUGGAAACACGGACAGUCAGAGCAGUGACAACCUUUGCCCACCCCUGUCUUCACUAAAGAAAGCCAUCAAAACCAUCAGCCAAGCCAUGAAAGCCAUCAGCCAAGCCAUGAAAGCCAUCAGCAAGCAUCAAACGUCGACAUACCAGCACUGGACAGCUGUUUCGGCCUUCUUCGGCCUCUUCCGCAGUGCGCAGGCCGGCAACAUUUGAGAGGGUGGCGUCAGAAGGUCACGUAGCACGUGAUAUCCUCCCGUCAGGGUGAGAGACUCACCACUGAAAGCCUUGUGCAAAGCCAGUGAUAUAUGUACGCACUGCGCACUGCUGAAUAUGUGCGAAUAAACUGCUGAUAUGUGCA